rnacentral:other from 1 species
GACAGCCUGCUGUGUGCGUGUAUUCGAUUUAGUUUUGAGCCAACACUAUUACAUUGGGAGCCUGGCGUCUGAUGGUGGAGCAAAAGCCCUUUGGGACUUGUAAAAUCAUUGGCAGGGCACCCACCUGCGAGAGCAGGUCCAAAACGAUCGACAUACGGCAUGGCGGGUGUCGC